UUUUUCCAUAGGAUCUGUCACGUGAGAUCAAGCUACAAUGCUAUCGAGCUUUCCUCAAUGGCUCAGAUGUCUGGAUAACAGAUCCUUUGGAGAUGAGAAACCUGGCCGUGGCACACUUCCGCUCUGUACUAGGCCCGCCUGCUUGUACUCCACUCAUUGCCUCUUCUAAUGAAUGGUUCCAGAAUCUGCUUAACUAUACGCUUCCCCCUGCUCAAAGAUCUCAAAUGCUACUCAUUCCUUCUGUCCACGAGAUACAGAACCUGAUGUUUAAGCUCAACCCAAACAAGGCUCCUGGGCCGGAUGGGUUAACAUCAGGUUUUUCAAAGCUGUGUGGGACUCUGUUGGGGAAGAAGUCGUAAGAUCCGUCACUUAAUUCUUCUACACUGGGUUCUUGCCAUCAGCCACAAACGCUACAAUCCUAACUCUGGUCCCAAAGUUUCCUGGAGCGUCAAAAAUAACAGAUUUCAGACCAAUCUCUUGUUUAAACACAAUCUACAAGGUAAUUUCAAGACUUCUGGUGAAAAGACUAAAGCCUAUCCUGCCUAAUGUGAUUCUCCCGAGCCAAACAGCGUUUGUUCAAGGAAGAUUACUCUUGGAAAAUACAGUCCUAGCUGCUGAACUAAUCAACGGGUAUCACAAGAAUAAGGGUACAAAAAAGAUUACAAUCAAAGUUGACAUAGCAAAGGCCUUUGAUACCUUGUCUUGGGAGUUUCUCUUCUCCUGUCUUCAUGGAAUGGGGAUCCCGCAGCAGUUCUUGCACUGGUUG
rnacentral:lncRNA from 1 species